rnacentral:rRNA from 1 species
AACGAACGCUGGCGGCAUGCUACACAUGCAAGUCGAACGAGAUCUUCGGAUCUAGUGGCGCACGGGUGCGUAACACGUGGGAAUCUGCCCUUUGGUUCGGAAUAACUCAGGGAAACUUGAGCUAAUACCGGAUGAUGACGUAAGUCCAAAGAUUUAUCGCCAAAGGAUGAGCCCGCGUAGGAUUAGCUAGUUGGUAGGGUAAAGGCCUACCAAGGCGACGAUCCUUAGCUGGUCUGAGAGGAUGAUCAGCCACACUGGGACUGAGACACGGCCCAGACUCCUACGGGAGGCAGCAGUGGGGAAUAUUGGACAAUGGGGGAAACCCUGAUCCAGCAAUGCCGCGUGAGCGAUGAAGGCCUUAGGGUUGUAAAGCUCUUUUACCCGGGAUGAUAAUGACAGUACCGGGAGAAUAAGCCCCGGCUAACUCCGUGCCAGCAGCCGCGGUAAUACGGAGGGGGCUAGCGUUGUUCGGAAUUACUGGGCGUAAAGCGCACGUAGGCGGCUAUUCAAGUCAGGGGUGAAAGCCCGGGGCUCAACCCCGGAAUUGCCCUUGAAACUAGAUAGCUAGAAUCAUGGAGAGGUGAGUGGAAUUCCGAGUGUAGAGGUGAAAUUCGUAGAUAUUCGGAAGAACACCAGUGGCGAAGGCGGCUCACUGGACAUGUAUUGACGCUGAGUGCGAAAGCGUGGGGAGCAAGCAGG